UUUUUUUUUUUCCUCUGCGGGUAUAAAGGUUUCUCUUCUCUCCCCAGCUUGGCUGCUUAUUCCAGAAGUUUCUACGGGGGAGGGGAGCACCCACUGCGGAGCCUUUGCCGCAGCGCCGGGCAGGCGUGGUCCCUGCUGCCGGGGGAGGAGGAGGAGGAGGAUGCAGAGGAUGCACCACCUCUCCCUGCCUUCCCUCCCCGGCUGGCAGCCUUUUUUCCAAGCCUCUCCCCCUUGCUAGAUUUCCCCAUCCUUGAAAAGGGUGCUGGGAGGUGUUUGCAAGGGUUUUUUUUGUUGUUGUUGUUUUGGUUUGGGUUUUUCAAUCUUUUUUCUUCCUCCCCUUUUGCUAAAUAAAUUAAAAGCAGAGCUGUCUUCUGAUGGAGAUGGAUGAGGCUGGGCUCACAGCAAUGGGCUUGCUCACUCACACGCACUGCUGCAGCCUUGAUCUGGCGUAGGGAGGGCAAUGAUGGCAGAAGUGACCUUUCCCAGGCAGUGGGAGGGAGGCUUUCCCCUCUUGCCCUGACAUGCUCCCGACUGGAAUUCAUUUUAAAUAGCAGGGGAAAUACAGGAUUGUGUGUGUAACCCCUCUCCACAGCAGAUACCUUCCUCGUAAGUAUUGUAAACAUACAGAGAUCUAAGAGCUGUCUGGGCAGCUGGAUCCGGCCUUGUGGAGGAGCGUAAGGCACAGUGCUCUGGUUGUGUAAGUGUGUGUUGUACAUGGGCCACAGAAACCCACAAUGUUUCCGUGGUUACUUCUGUCUGGAUAGCAUGAGUAGAUCCCAGGGCUUCCCCUUCCCACCACUUACUAUUUCACAAAAGCAAAGGCUGGUGCUUCUGGAAAAAGCUCUGCCUUGUGGCCUUUAAAAAAAAAUAAAAACUGCUCGGGAUUAGUCAUCCUUAUUUUUAAAGGAGGCUGUGUUUGCCAGUCCUAUCAGUAUAAUGCAUGUGCGUGUGAGAUAUUAACUAUUACCUUCAUUUGUGAGGGCUGGUUAUGUGCUCUGCUCGCUGCUCUUUGGAGCAGUGCCACUGAGGCUCCGUCAAGCUGCUGCUGGCAGGUGGAAAAACUGACAGUCCAGCUUUUGAUCCCCUUCCCUCCAUUUUCCUUUUUCACUGCAGGUAUCUCUGCACUGGCAGGUGUGGAACCAUAGAGACCGUAACAACUGUAAGCGAGGACAGAUGAGCUGUUUUCUGGGGUCACUUCCAAUGCCAGAGAAGAAACCCUGGUGGUUUGUUGUGGUUUUUUUCUUUUUUUUUUUCUCUUGCCUGUGGUAGCUUCUACUCUAAGCUCCACUGUAUCUUGUGAGAAGACUUGAGUUUGACCCUUUUGGAUGCUAAAAAUAGUACUGUUUUUAAACCUUAAGUGGUUUUUCCCUUCCCUGUGGUCACAUAGAAGAGCAAGCCGUGCAAUUAGAACAGUAUAGCAAAGGACAGCUCCCUCCCCCUUUCCCCUUUCAAAAAACCUUCCAGAGUUGUGUGCUCUUGAACUGCUGCAUAGGCAGAAAAUAUACAAUGCAGUUGUCAGCAUUGUGCUGAUGUGUGGCACAUUUGAAAAAAAAAUACACACAAAAGGGGUGGGGAGAACAGUUGCCUCCAGGGAGUAAAACUGUGGGGCCCCUUCCCCUACAAGCCAACAGCCCUACACGGAUAGUGUAUUACUCCUAAUUUCCUCAGGCAAAUGCAACAGGCAGACGUCGGAGGGAGUGUUGCAACGUCCUAAAUUGUGUUGGUGAAGAUCAGGGUCCCCUUGAACUACUUUUUUUUUUUUUUUCUUCCCUGUGAACUUGGUCCUGUGAGAUGCUGCAGUUUUAUUACUUGAUUUCUCAAAGUUGUGCUCGCUCCAGGAAGAAGGAAAAAGCUUCCUUACUGGGUGCAAUUUCUUUUGUUGUGUUGCAAAAGGUAAUAAAAAGCACCUGGUGCUGGUCUCUUCUAGGUCACACAUGACUUCAAGGCACAGAGUCCCAGCGAUCAUUAGUGCACAAGGAGUGUUGGGUAUGGGAGCCUUCUCGUUAGCCUCCCUUAAUGAGAAUAUUGGCAACGGUGUUGCACGAAUGCCUCUGGCUGACCAGUGGAGAGGCCCUGCCCUGCUAAACUGGAGCAACACCUCAUGAGAAAUGCAGUGAUUUCACUGCCAAUGAGACAGCCUGCUUGCUGCAGUGAUUUGUAGAGCAGCUAUGACUAUGUUUUUCUGGCAAAAAUUUAGCAGAGGGUAAGUAUGAGGUGUCCAGGCCAAUUUCAUACGUGCUCCCUGUGGUGGAGACCCGGGGAAAGUUAGUGUGUGGUACACGUGAAAAUUGUCAGUAGCUCCUGUGCCUAAAGCCUUGUCUGUACUUGAAAUAAUCCAGUGUGGACAGGGGUAUUAAUGUUAUUCUCUCACUAGGGAUGUGUUGGUUUGGAGAUCCGCCUUGUGCUCAUCAGAGGCCUGCGCUGGCAUGGAGGUCUGGUGCACCAAGAAGCUGGCUGGGCGGGAUGUUUCCACAUUUUUCAGGUUGGCACACCCUGCGGGACUUGGAAUUACUUUUCUUUGGCAGUUUUGGACAAACGAGUGAGAAUUACCUUGUGAGCGCUGAACUUUUCGCCACCCUCUGCUUUGGACUGAGGAUUUACUAGAACUACAUCCCUGAGACUUCCAAGCUAAACAAAACCUGAAUUUCCAGUGCCAAAACGUAAGUGAGAGAUAGAAUCCUCCGCUCCUCCUCCGUAAGGGGGGAAGCUGCAGUCUUUCAAGCCUUCCUAUUAUCCUGAAGAGUUAAAAAGCUGCAUUGUGAGAUCAGCAGAGGUAAAACGAAAGCCAAAACUAGCCGAGGAACUGUUCUCCUGCUCUGUAUUGCCGGAGAGGUUUUUGAGCGCAGCAGGUCUUGAUGCACAAGGAUCUUUCUUUGUGCUUUUUUUCUGAAGUGAAAGAGCGAUAACCACACAACCGCACGUUCAGUCUGCUCCGUUUAAAACACCGUCAAAGUUGCUUCGGUAUCAAAUUGGUGUAUGAUGAAACAAAAGCUCUGAUGCCUGCCUGGCUCAGUGUUUAUUUUGUGCUGGGUGUGCCAAUCAAUCCGAUGAGGAAUAUGGGGAAGAGCAGCAUUUAGCUCACAGGUUUAGACUGUGGGCUUUACGUUAAAACCUUGUCCUGCAACAUCUCCAGUGUCAUUUCUGUGAUUGUUCCUGGGCGUUGCACGCAGGCCCUUUAUGUAGAGGUAAUACUACAAUUGGGUGUUAAAAAUGACACAGUACAGGAUAUGGUGAUCUAUCCAGUCCUAGGAGAUUUACAUCCUUUGCAGUUGUGAUGUUCUAGUAUCAAAUCACACGGGGCUGGCUUUUUUGGGCUUUGUUUCUUUGUUUUUCCCCUAAAAUGUAAUAAUUUGCAGCCUGGAAGGCCAAAGUCCUCUCUGUCUAGCUGGUAAAAUGCUCCUUGUUUGGGAAAAACCCUUGUAAGGUGAGCAGGUACAGUUCUUCAGUAUAUGGUCACACACAAGCUGGGGGUCAAGGGGAAGCAGGGCAGAAGCUGUCACUGUGAUAUUUCUAAUUUUUCCCAACAAGCGAAAAAAAAAAAAGGUAUGAAUUCUAAUAUAUUUACUAUGCUGUAAGCAAGGGUAAGCUCUUUUGCAGUCUUGUGAUGGCACAUGGUGUUUUGGUUGCAUGGCUCAGCAAUCCCACUGUACUCUGCUGCUGAAGAAAUGUCUGGUUUUGUGUAUUUUGAAAACAGAAGUGUGCUUUUAUAUAUGUACAAAUGGGUUCAGUGUAAACUGAAUUCCAGGGGGCUCCUGAGCUGUGUUUACUGUGCUGCAGAAGGUAACUGGUGCAAAGCCACCAGCUACAGGGAGGUAUUUUGUGGCAGCUCUCAUCCCUGGUACUGUGGGGAUAAGAACACCACCACCAUGAAGUCCAGCAGGGGAGAGCCAUUAGAAAAUAAAUUACUAAAUACUGGGUUUCAAAAACAUGAAAGGAGUUUUCGGGACAGAGUCAUCUCGUUGUGAAGAUCUGGAGCACGAACCCUCAAAGAGGAAAGAACUGAAAACAAUAGUUUUAUUAAUACAAAACCUAUACUUUGUGUUGCUUAGGAUCCAGAACCAGGCUUCGUGUUCAAAGCGUUAUCAGUGUGUAAGCCAAUAUCCUCUGUCUUGGCAACAAAUGAGCCCAAAUAUCAAACAGCACCCAUUCCUUCUUGGAGAAAAUUAUCCAUUGCAUAAAACCUAAUGGGUAAGCAAUAAAAUUAGGCCAGUAAUUCAGGCUGGCUUAAAAAUGAGAUAAAAGCCUAGCUGGCAAUUUGAUAUUCAGCUGCCAUACUGUCAUUUUAAUAAAUAUAGUCAAUGAGCAGGAAAGGCACGUAAAUAUGUUUUAUAAUGACAAGAUGGUGGCUGGAGCUGGCCGACUCAAACAAAGAAACGCUCUGCGUGUCUCUGGUGGUGUCUGAGGGCUCUUGUCUGGGUCACCUACUGGUUUUUUGUAAAAAAA